AACGAACGCUGGCGGCGUGGAUAGGCAUGCAAGUCGAGCGAGAAUCUGGGAGUUCGAAGUUUCGGACAAGGACUCCGGAGGAAAGACGGCGGAAGGGUGAGUACAACAUGGACAACCCAUCUCCAAGUUGGGUAUAACUUCCCGAAAGGGGAGACAAUCCCGAAUGUGGUGAGCCAAGGCAUCUUGGCGAAACUAAAGGCGGGACCGCAAGGCCUGCCGCUUGGAGCCGGGUCCGUGCACUAUCAGCUGGUUGGCGGGGUAACGGCCCACCAAGGCAAUGACGGUUAGCUGGUCUGAGAGGAUGGUCAGCCACACUGGGACUGAGAUACUGCCCAGACUCCUACGGGAGGCUGCAGUCGAGAAUCAUUCGCAAUGGGCGGAAGCCUGACGGUGCGACGUCGCGUGGAGGACGAAAGGUCUUCGGAUUGUAAACUCCUGUCAUGAGGGACAAACGGCCCCGAGGCGAACAACUUCGGGGAGUGAUGGUACCUCAGGAGGAAGAGACGGCUAACUCUGUGCCAGCCGCAGC
rnacentral:rRNA from 1 species